UAAUUUUUAAUUUAAUAAAAAUUUUUCAUUUACAUUGAAAAUAUAAUUAUGAACUUAAUUAAAAUUAU
rnacentral:tRNA from 1 species